rnacentral:rRNA from 1 species
UACGGCGGAUGCAAGCGUUAUCCGGAUUCAUUGGGUUUAAAGGGUGCGUAGGCGGGCUAUUAAGUCAGUGGUGAAAUCCUGCAGCUUAACUGCAGAACUGCCGUUGAUACUGAUAGUCUUGAGUUUGGUUAAGGUAGGCGGAAUGUGUAAUGUAGCGGUGAAAUGCUUAGAUAUUACACAGAACACCAAUUGCGUAGGCAGCUUACUGAGCCGACACUGACGCUGAGGCACGAAAGCGUGGGGAUCAAACAGGA